GAUGAACGCUGGCGGCGUGCUUAACACAUGCAAGUCGAACGGGAAACAUUUUAUUGAAGCUUCGGCAGAUUUAGUUUGUUUUCUAGUGGCGGACGGGUGAGUAACGCGUGAGUAACCUGCCUUUCAGAGGGGGAUAACGUUCUGAAAAGAACGCUAAUACCGCAUAAGAUUGUAGUUUCGCAUGGGACAGCAAUCAAAGGAGCAAUCCGCUGAAAGAUGGACUCGCGUCCGAUUAGAUAGUUGGCGGGGCAACGGCCCACCAAGUCGACGAUCGGUAGCCGGACUGAGAGGUUGAUCGGCCACAUUGGGACUGAGACACGGGCCCAGACUCCUACGGGAGGCAGCAGUGAGGGAUAUUGGGCAAUGGGGGAACCUGACCCAGCAACGCCGCGUGAGGGAUGAACGGUUUUCGGAUUGUAAACCUCUGUCCUCUGUGAAGAUAGUGACGGUAG
rnacentral:rRNA from 1 species